rnacentral:rRNA from 1 species
AUGAUUCGUGGGACGUCCUGCCGGUGGUGGCGAGUCGAAGGCGUGCUCCCGUCGUGGUUUCCACUUCGGUUCUUGUGCGCCCGAGGCGGACCCCGAUGAAAUCCUACCGCGGUGCUCUUAACCGAGUGUCGAGGUGGGCCGGCACGUUUACUUUGAACAAAUUAGAGUGCUUAAAGCAGGCCUGUUGCGCCUGAAUACUGUGUGCAUGGAAUAAUGGAAUAGGACCUCGGUUCUAUUUUGUUGGUUUUCGGAACCCGAGGUAAUGAUUAAUAGGGACAGGCGGGGGCAUUCGUAUUGCGACGUUAGAGGUGAAAUUCUUGGAUCGUCGCAAGACGGACCGAAGCGAAAGCAUUUGCCAAGUAUGUUUUCAUUAAUCAAGAACGAAAGUUAGAGGUUCGAAGGCGAUCAGAUACCGCCCUAGUUCUAACCAUAAACGAUGCCAGCUAGCGAUCCGCCGAAGUUCCUCCGAUGACUCGGCGGGCAGCUCCCGGGAAACCAAAGCUUUUGGGUUCCGGGGGAAGUAUGGUUGCAAGCUGAACUUAAGGAAUUGACGGAAGGG